rfam:Chania multitudinisentens RB-25, complete genome.
CGCUGUCAUCGACAGCCGCCAAUGUUUCCAGUACCGGGAGUGGUACGAGUGAUCUGCGAGAAGCGCCUUCGGGUGAUCACAACGCCAAAAUCAUAAGGACAGCGGUGUAGCCUGCGACUGAUGCCUUCGGGUGGCUACAACCCUUGAAAUCCGUUUAAUCUCUGGAAACGGAUGCCAUGCUGGCAACGUGCAUGGUGGAGGUGUU